rnacentral:misc_RNA from 1 species
UACGGAGGGGGCGAGCGUUAUCCGGAAUUACUUGGCGUAAAGCGCGCGUAGGUGGUUUGAUAAGCGAGAUGUGAAAGCCCUGGGCUUAACCUGGGAACGGCAUUUCGAACUGUCAGGCUAGAGUGCGGUAGAGGGUAGUGGAAUUUCCUGUGCAGCGGUGAAAUGCGUAGAUAUAGGAAGGAACACCAGUGGCGAAGGCGGCUACCUGGACCAACACUGACACUGAGGUGCGAAAGCGUGGGGAGCAAACAGG